GCCCACAUAGCUCAGCUGGUUAGAGCACUUCAUUCGUAAUGAAGAGGUCCGUGGUUCGAACCCGCGUGUGGGCU
rnacentral:tRNA from 1 species